AGAGUUUGAUCCUGGCUCAGAAUCAACGCUGGCGGCGUGCCUAACACAUGCAAGUCGAACGAGAAAGGGGAGCAAUCCCUGAGUAAAGUGGCGACCGGGUGAGUAACACGUGACUAACCUACCUCCGAGUGGGGAAUAACAUCGGGAAACCGAUGCUAAUACCGCAUAACAUCGCAAGAUCAAAGCAGCAAUGCGCUGGGAGAGGGGGUCGCGGCUGAUUAGCUAGUUGGCGGGGUAACGGCCCACCAAGGCGAAGAUCGGUAUCCGGCCUGAGAGGGCGCACGGACACACUGGAACUGAAACACGGUCCAGACUCCUACGGGAGGCAGCAGUGGGGAAUUUUGCGCAAUGGGGGAAACCCUGACGCAGCAACGCCGCGUGGAGGAUGAAGCCCCUUGGGGCGUAAACUCCUUUCGACCAAGACGAUAAUGACGGUACUGGUGGAAGAAGCACCGGCUAACUCUGUGCCAGCAGCCGCGGUAAUACAGAGGGUGCAAGCGUUGUUCGGAAUUAUUGGGCGUAAAGGGCGCGUAGGCGGUGCCACAAGUCACCUGUGAAAUCUCCGGGCUUAACUCGGAGCCUGCAGGCGAAACUGUGGUGCUGGAGUGUGGGAGAGGUGCGUGGAAUUCCCGGUGUAGCGGUGAAAUGCGUAGAUAUCGGGAGGAACACCUGUGGCGAAAGCGGCGCACUGGACCACAACUGACGCUGAGGCGCGAAAGCUAGGGGAGCAAACAGGAUUAGAUACCCUGGUAGUCCUAGCCCUAAACGAUGAUUGCUUGGUGUAGCCGGUACCCAAUCCGGCUGUGCCGCAGCUAACGCGAUAAGCAAUCCGCCUGGGGAGUACGGUCGCAAGGCUGAAACUCAAAGGAUUGACGGGGGCCCGCACAAGCGGUGGAGCAUGUGGUUCAAUUCGACGCAACGCGAAGAACCUUACCUGGGCUCGAAGCGCAGUGGAAUCC
rnacentral:rRNA from 1 species